UCAGGUACUGAGUGACUUUGA
rnacentral:miRNA from 1 species